rnacentral:rRNA from 1 species
UUGAGGUGUGGCUUCCGGAGCUAACGCGUUAAGUCGACCGCCUGGGGAGUACGACCGCAAGGUUAAAACUCAAAUGAAUUGACGGGGGCCCGCACAAGCGGUGGAGCAUGUGGUUUAAUUCGAUGCAACGCGAAGAACCUUACCUGGUCUUGACAUCCACGGAAGUUUUCAGAGAUGAGAAUGUGCCUUCGGGAACCGUGAGACAGGUGCUGCAUGGCUGUCGUCAGCUCGUGUUGUGAAAUGUUGGGUUAAGUCCCGCAACGAGCGCAACCCUUAUCCUUUGUUGCCAGCGGUCCGGCCGGGAACUCAAAGGAGACUGCCAGUGAUAAACUGGAGGAAGGUGGGGAUGACGUCAAGUCAUCAUGGCCCUUACGACCAGGGCUACACACGUGCUACAAUGGCGCAUACAAAGAGAAGCGACCUCGCGAGAGCAAGCGGACCUCAUAAAGUGCGUCGUAGUCCGGAUUGGAGUCUGCAACUCGACUCCAUGAAGUCGGAAUCGCUAGUAAUCGUGGAUCAGAAUGCCACGGUGAAUACGUUCCCGGGCCUUGUACACACCGCCCGUCACACCAUGGGAGUGGGUUGCAAAAGAAGUAGGUAGCUUAACCUUCGGGAGGGCGCUUACCACUUUGUGAUUCAUGACUGGGGUGAAGUCGUAACAAGGUAACCGUAGGGGAACCUGCGGUUGGAUCACCUCCUUACCUUAAAGAAGC